rnacentral:lncRNA from 1 species
UCACUCACUUACGGCUUGUCACUCACCCUUGCUAGGCCAAAGCCAUUUAUAAUUGCUGUCAUCUAAACUGCACUGAAACGAACUGGACAUUCAAAGAGCGCAGCUCCCAAGAAACAAAGGCUAAUAAGAGCAGUUACCAGCAUUUUUGGAACAAAGCAGACGGAAGCUGGGAUAGGAGGAAAGAAGAGGACAGAAGCAGAGACAGAGUUCUAAUGAGACAUUUCACCAAGAUUUAUGAAGGCUCCUUCUUGAGCAAACUACAGUGCGAGGUGAUCUGGGGACUAUUGUACAUGAAGCCAUGCAGCUUUGUCUGAAAGAUACCUACU